rnacentral:rRNA from 1 species
CCUACUAGAGUUCGAUUCUGUUCUUAACUGAUGGAGUAGCUAUUUCUCGGGGUAGUCAGUUGGUUAUUUAUAUUCUCCCACUAAUAAGCAGAGAGGAGUAAAAUCUUCAAAGUAAGUUAUGUGGGUCAAGGUAUAGUGAUUAAUUGGAGUUCUAGUUCAUUUACUUUGAGAAAAUUAGAGUGUUUAAAGCAGCCUCUUGGGGCACUGAAUACAUUAGCAUGGGAUAAUAAAAUAGGAUCUUCACAAUAUAUUUUAUUGGUUUAAAUUGCGUAUGAAGAUAAUGAUUAAUAGGGACAGUUGGGGGUAUUCAUAUUGGGUGGUUAGCGGUGAAAUGCUCGGAUCCAUUCAAGAUGAACUAAAGCGAAAGCAUUUACCAAGGAUGUUUUCAUUAAUCAAGAACGAAAGUUAAGGGAUCGAAGACGAUUAGAUACCGUCGUAGUCUUAACUAUAAACUAUGCCGACCAGG